rnacentral:rRNA from 1 species
CCUACGGGAGGCUGCAGUGGGGAAUAUUGGACAAUGGGGGCAACCCUGAUCCAGCCAUGCCGCGUGUGUGAAGAAGGCCCUCGGGUUGUAAAGCACUUUCAGUGAGGAAGAACGCCUGGUGGUUAAUACCCAUCAGGAAAGACAUCACUCACAGAAGAAGCACCGGCUAACUCCGAGCCAGCAGCCGCGGUAAUACGGAGGGUGCGAGCGUUAAUCGGAAUUACUGGGCGUAAAGCGCGCGUAGGUGGCUUGAUAAGCCGGUUGUGAAAGCCCCGGGCUCAACCUGGGAACGGCAUCCGGAACUGUCAAGCUGGAGUGCAGGAGAGGAAGGUAGAAUUCCCGGUGUAGCGGUGAAAUGCGUAGAGAUCGGGAGGAAUACCAGUGGCGAAGGCGGCCUUCUGGACUGACACUGACACUGAGGUGCGAAAGCGUGGGUAGCAAACAGGAUUAGAUACCCCUGUAGUC